rnacentral:rRNA from 1 species
UACGUAGGGUGCAAGCGUUAAUCGGAAUUACUGGGCGCAAAGCGUGCGCAGGCGGUUGUGUAAGACAGGUGUGAAAUCCCCGGGCUUAACCUGGGAAUUGCAUUUGUGACUGCACGGCUAGAGUGUGUCAGAGGGGGGUAGAAUUCCACGUGUAGCAGUGAAAUGCGUAGAUAUGUGGAGGAAUACCGAUGGCGAAGGCAGCCCCCUGGGAUAACACUGACGCUCAUGCACGAAAGCGUGGGGAGCAAACAGG